CACGUAGGGCGCAAGCAUUGUCCGGAAUUAUUGGGCGUAAAGAGCUCGUAGGCGGUCUGUUGCGUCCGCUGUGAAAACUCGGGGCUUAACCCCGAGCCUGCAGUGGAUACGGGCAGACUAGAGGUAGGUAGGGGAGAAUGGAAUUCCCGGUGUAGCGGUGAAAUGCGCAGAUAUCGGGAGGAACACCGGUGGCGAAGGCGGUUCUCUGGGCCUUACCUGACGCUGAGGAGCGAAAGCGUGGGGAGCGAACAGG
rnacentral:rRNA from 1 species